rnacentral:rRNA from 1 species
AGCCGGCGAUGUCCGAAUGGGGAAACCCAGUGCAAUUCGUUGCACUAUCGUUAACUGAAUACAUAGGUUAACGAGGCGAACCGGGGGAACUGAAACAUCUAAGUACCCCGAGGAAAAGAAAUCAACCGAGAUUCCCCCAGUAGCGGCGAGCGAACGGGGAGCAGCCCAGAGUCUGAAUCAGCUUGUGUGUUAGUGGAACGGUCUGGAAAGUCCGACGGUACAGGGUGAUAGUCCCGUACACCAAAAUGCACAGGUUGUGAACUCGAAGAGUAGGGCGGGACACGUGGUAUCCUGUCUGAAUAUGGGGGGACCAUCCUCCAAGGCUAAAUACUCCUGACUGACCGAUAGUGAACCAGUACCGUGAGGGAAAGGCGAAAAGAACCCCGGCGAGGGGAGUGAAAAAGAACCUGAAACCGUGUACGUACAAGCAGUGGGAGCCUCUUUAUGGGGUGACUGCGUACCUUUUGUAUAAUGGGUCAGCGACUUAUAUUCUGUAGCAAGGUUAACCGUAUAGGGGAGCCGCAGGGAAACCGAGUCUUAACUGGGCGUUAAGUUGCAGGGUAUAGACCCGAAACCCGGUGAUCUAGCCAUGGGCAGGUUGAAGGUUGGGUAACACUAACUGGAGGACCGAACCGACUAAUGUUGAAAAAUUAGCGGAUGACUUGUGGCUGGGGGUGAAAGGCCAAUCAAACCGGGAGAUAGCUGGUUCUCCCCGAAAGCUAUUUAGGUAGCGCCUCGUGAACUCAUCUUCGGGGGUAGAGCACUGUUUCGGCUAGGGGGUCAUCCCGACUUACCAACCCGAUGCAAACUACGAAUACCGAAGAAUGUUAUCACGGGAGACACACGGCGGGUGCUAACGUCCGUCGUGAAGAGGGAAACAACCCAGACCGCCAGCUAAGGUCCCAAAGUCAUGGUUAAGUGGGAAACGAUGUGGGAAGGCACAGACAGCCAGGAUGUUGGCUUAGAAGCAGCCAUCAUUUAAAGAAAGCGUAAUAGCUCACUGGUCGAGUCGGCCUGCGCGGAAGAUGUAACGGGGCUAAACCAUGCACCGAAGCUGCGGCAGCGACGCUUAUGCGUUGUUGGGUAGGGGAGCGUUCUGUAAGCCUGCGAAGGUGACCUGUGAGGGUUGCUGGAGGUAUCAGAAGUGCGAAUGCUGACAUAAGUAACGAUAAAGCGGGUGAAAAGCCCGCUCGCCGGAAGACCAAGGGUUCCUGUCCAACGUUAAUCGGGGCAGGGUGAGUCGACCCCUAAGGCGAGGCCGAAAGGCGUAGUCGAUGGGAAACAGGUUAAUAUUCCUGUACUUGGUGUUACUGCGAAGGGGGGACGGAGAAGGCUAUGUUAGCCGGGCGACGGUUGUCCCGGUUUAAGCAUGUAGGCGGAGGUUCCAGGUAAAUCCGGUACCUUUUAACGCUGAGGUGUGAUGACGAGGCACUACGGUGCUGAAGUAACAAAUGCCCUGCUUCCAGGAAAAGCCUCUAAGCAUCAGGUAACAUUAAAUCGUACCCCAAACCGACACAGGUGGUCAGGUAGAGAAUACCAAGGCGCUUGAGAGAACUCGGGUGAAGGAACUAGGCAAAAUGGUGCCGUAACUUCGGGAGAAGGCACGCUGAUAUGUAGGUGAAGUCCCUGCGGAUGGAGCUGAAAUCAGUCGAAGAUACCAGCUGGCUGCAACUGUUUAUUAAAAACACAGCACUGUGCAAACACGAAAGUGGACGUAUACGGUGUGACGCCUGCCCGGUGCCGGAAGGUUAAUUGAUGGGGUUAUCCGUAAGGAGAAGCUCUUGAUCGAAGCCCCGGUAAACGGCGGCCGUAACUAUAACGGUCCUAAGGUAGCGAAAUUCCUUGUCGGGUAAGUUCCGACCUGCACGAAUGGCGUAAUGAUGGCCAGGCUGUCUCCACCCGAGACUCAGUGAAAUUGAACUCGCUGUGAAGAUGCAGUGUACCCGCGGCAAGACGGAAAGACCCCGUGAACCUUUACUAUAGCUUGACACUGAACAUUGAGCCUUGAUGUGUAGGAUAGGUGGGAGGCUUUGAAGCGUGGACGCCAGUCUGCGUGGAGCCAACCUUGAAAUACCACCCUUUAAUGUUUGAUGUUCUAACGUAGACCCCUAAUCGGGGUUGCGGACAGUGUCUGGUGGGUAGUUUGACUGGGGCGGUCUCCUCCCAAAGAGUAACGGAGGAGCACGAAGGUUAGCUAAUCCUGGUCGGACAUCAGGAGGUUAGUGCAAUGGCAUAAGCUAGCUUGACUGCGAGCGUGACGGCGCGAGCAGGUGCGAAAGCAGGUCAUAGUGAUCCGGUGGUUCUGAAUGGAAGGGCCAUCGCUCAACGGAUAAAAGGUACUCCGGGGAUAACAGGCUGAUACCGCCCAAGAGUUCAUAUCGACGGCGGUGUUUGGCACCUCGAUGUCGGCUCAUCACAUCCUGGGGCUGAAGUAGGUCCCAAGGGUAUGGCUGUUCGCCAUUUAAAGUGGUACGCGAGCUGGGUUUAGAACGUCGUGAGACAGUUCGGUCCCUAUCUGCCGUGGGCGCUGGAGAAUUGAGGGGGGCUGCUCCUAGUACGAGAGGACCGGAGUGGACGCAUCACUGGUGUUCGGGUUGUCAUGCCAAUGGCAUUGCCCGGUAGCUAAAUGCGGAAGAGAUAAGUGCUGAAAGCAUCUAAGCACGAAACUUGCCCCGAGAUGAGUUCUCCCUGAGACUUUAAGUCUCCUGAAGGAACGUUGAAGACGACGACGUUGAUAGGCCGGGUGUGUAAGCGCAGCGAUGCGUUGAGCUAACCGGUACUAAUGAACCGUGAGGCUUAACCUUACAACGCCGAAG